rnacentral:rRNA from 1 species
UACGGGGGGAGCUAGCGUUAUUCACCAUGACUGGGCGUAAAGGGCAUGUAGACGGUUUUAUAAGUUUUAAAUAAAAAAGUGAAGUUCAAAUUCUAAACGUUUAAAAUACUGUGUAACUAGAGUAUAGUAGAGGGUUGGGGUACUUUCGGUGUAGGGGCGAAAUCCUUAAAUAUCGAUAGGGACAACCAAUUGGCGAAGGCGCCAACCUGGACUAUUCUGACGUUGAGGUGCUAAAGCACGGGGAGCGAACGAG